rnacentral:lncRNA from 1 species
AUGAGGUUUUCUGUUGCACAGGUGUGUGGGGACAAUCUUGGCCUAAAUGCCAUUCUAGGUUUUACUGAGAGCUUCUCAAGUAAUUUCUUCUGUCGCAUGUGCAAGGCACACAAGAACAUCACAAGGACACAGACAAAAGAGGAUCUUGCCAUGAUAAGAAAUGAAACAAACCAUGCUGAAGAUGUUUGUCAUGGUAAUGUGUCUGAGACUGGUGUUAAAAGAGACAGCAUCCUAAACAGUCUGUCCUACUUUCAUGUCACAGACAACAAAGUUGCAGACAUAAUGCAUGACUUGUUGGAAGGGGUGGGGCCAUAUGAGUUGAAGCUGGUAAUCUCUUCACUGAUUGAGGACAAACACUUGACCCUUGAAAAACUCAACUUCCGGAUCACAAGUUUUGAUUAUGGCUUUCCUGAUCUGAAGAAUAAGCCAUCCUUGAUUGGGAAGAAUGAACUUAAAAAUCCCGAAGGAGCAAUGCAUCAGUCUGCAGCGCAAACAUGGUGUCUCCUCAGAUGGUUGCCAUGUAUGAUUGGGGACCUCAUUCCUGAAGAAAACAAGCACUGGGAGCUCUUGCUUCUCCUUCUGGAAUGUAUGGAGUUGAUUUUCUCUUCUUCCAUUACACCAGAGGCUGUAGUUUACUUGGCUGCACUGAUUGAUGAGCAUCACUCUCUGUUCCUUGAGCUGUACCCCAGAUUGCAUCUUCGCCCGAAGCACCACCUCAUGGUGCACUAUCCAAAUGCAAUCCUACACUUGGGACCACUUGUUCAGUUCUGGUCGAUGCGAUUUGAAGCCAAACAUGGUUUCUUUAAACGCAUCAGCCAUGUCACCUGUAACUUUAAGAAUAUUUGUAAGACUAUGGCAUUUCGGCAUCAGAUGAUGCUAUGCUACUCACUCCUCUCUGGUUCUGUGUUUAAAAAUGAAACAGAGGUUGGUCCAGGCCAGAGUGUUUUGCUUGCCGUAAUGGAUGGCUUUUGUGAUGUACAAAAUGGUCUUGAGGAUAUUCCACCCUUUACAGAGAUCUUUGUGCCAGCUUGGGUAAAAGUAAAUGGUACACACUACAAACCUGGAACCACAGUAUUUCUGUCUUACACUGCUGAUGGCGAGCCCCAGUUUGGUAGAGUGAAAAGCCUUCUCAUGUUGGGUGACAGAGUGAAGCUUGUCAUCCAAAAAUGGGAUACAGUAGGAUUUGAGAAGCAUUUCUUUGCCUACGGUGUAACAGCAACCACUGAUGUGUUUGCUGUUGAUCAAGGUUCCCUCCUUGACUAUCACACUCUCCAUGCAGUGAAGUCCUUCAGGGAUAAUGAUGACUGUUUAUAUGUUUCACUUAGAUACAGAAUCUUUUAA